rnacentral:misc_RNA from 1 species
AAACCCUCACCCUUGUGAUGUAAAAGUCGCAAGCGGUGGAUUUGGAUUGUGCCGUAGUUGGCUCAUCCUGAAAUGCAUUAGCUUGCGCCUUUUAGAGUGCUCGGCAUGGUGUGAUAAUUAUCUGCACCGUCGCCUCAGGCCUCUUCUGUGAGUGCUGCUUAUAGUCGUCCCACGUGGACAAUAUUUAAAG